GACGAACGCUGGCGGCGUGCUUAACACAUGCAAGUCGAACGGAGCACCCUUGACUGAGGUUUCGGCCAAAUGAUAGGAAUGCUUAGUGGCGGACUGGUGAGUAACGCGUGAGGAACCUACCUUCCAGAGGGGGACAACAGUUGGAAACGACUGCUAAUACCGCAUGACGCAUGACCGGGGCAUCCCGGGCAUGUCAAAGAUUUUAUCGCUGGAAGAUGGCCUCGCGUCUGAUUAGCUAGAUGGCGGGGUAACGGCCCACCAUGGCGACGAUCAGUAGCCGGACUGAGAGGUUGACCGGCCACAUUGGGACUGAGAUACGGCCCAGACUCCUACGGGAGGCAGCAGUGGGGAAUAUUGGGCAAUGGACGCAAGUCUGACCCAGCAACGCCGCGUGAAGGAAGAAGGCUUUCGGGUUGUAAACUUCUUUUGUCAGGGAAGAGUAGAAGACGGUAC
rnacentral:rRNA from 1 species